rnacentral:rRNA from 1 species
GGAAUAUUGCGCAAUGGGCGAAAGCCUGACGCAGCAACGCCGCGUGAGGGAUGAAGGCCUUCGGGUUGUAAACCUCUUUUAGCAGGGAAGAAGCGAAAGUGACGGUACCUGCAGAAAAAGCACCGGCUAACUACGUGCCAGCAGCCGCGGUAAUACGUAGGGUGCAAGCGUUAUCCGGAAUUAUUGGGCGUAAAGAGCUCGUAGGCGGUUUGUCGCGUCUGCUGUGAAAAUCUGAGGCUCAACCUCGGACUUGCAGUGGGUACGGGCAGACUAGAGUGCAGUAGGGGAGAAGGGAAUUCCUGGUGUAGCGGUGGAAUGCGCAGAUAUCAGGAGGAACACCAGUGGCGAAGGCACUUCUCUGGGCUGUAACUGACGCUGAGGAGCGAAAGCGUGGGGAGCGAACAGGAUUAGAUACCCUGGUAGUCCACGCCGUAAACGUUGGGCGCUAGAUGUGGGUCACAUUCCACGUGAUCCGUGUCGCAGCUAACGCAUUAAGCGCCCCGCCUGGGGAGUACGGCCGCAAGGCUAAAACUCAAAGGAAUUGACGG